CAGAGGGUGCGAGCGUUAAUCGGAAUUACUGGGCGUAAAGCGUGCGUAGACGGUUAUUUAAGUCGGAUGUGAAAGCCCCGGGCUCAACCUGGGAAUUGCAUUCGAGACUGAAUAGCUAGGGUACGGUAGAGGGAAGUGGAAUUUCCGGUGUAGCGGUGAAAUGCGUAGAUAUCGGAAGGAACAUCAGUGGCGAAAGCGACUUCCUGGACCAGUACCGACGUUCAGGCACGUAAGCGUGGGGAGCAAACAGGAUUAGAUACCCUGGUAGUCCACGCCAUAAACGAUGAGGACUAGACGUUGGAGGGGUAAGCCUUUCAGUGUCGUAGCUAACGCGCUAAGUCCUCCGCCUGGGGAGUACGGCCGCAAGGUUG
rnacentral:rRNA from 1 species